GACGAACGCUGGCGGCGUGCCUAAUACAUGCAAGUCGAACGCACAGUUUAUACCGUAGCUUGCUACACCAUAGACUGUGAGUUGCGAACGGGUGAGUAACGCGUAGGUAACCUGCCUGGUAGCGGGGGAUAACUAUUGGAAACGAUAGCUAAUACCGCAUAAUAUUAAUUAUUGCAUGAUAAUUAAUUGAAAGGUGCAAUUGCACCACUACCAGAUGGACCUGCGUUGUAUUAGCUAAUAGGUGAGGUAACGGCUCACCUAGGCGACGAUACAUAGCCGAGCUGGGAGGGUGGUCGGCCACACUGGGACUGAGACACGGCCCAGACUCCUAAGGGAGGCAGCAGUAGGGAAUCUUCGGAAAUGGACGAAAGUCUGACCGAGCAACGCCGGGGGAGUGAAGAAGGUUUUCGGAUCGUAAAGCUCUGUUGUAAGAGAAGAACGGGUGUGAGAGUGGAAAGUUCACACUGUGACGGUAUCUUACCAGAAAGGGACGGCUAACUACGUG
rnacentral:rRNA from 1 species